rnacentral:lncRNA from 10 species
ACUCUCCCUGGAUGCUGGAGGCUGCUCCGCCGUGGGCAGGAGGAGAAGGAAGAGAACUGGGUGCCGCCUGCCUGCACUCUCUCCGGAUGCUGGAGGCUGGAGGCAGUGAGGCAGCAACAGCGCGAGGGCGAGGCGACUUUGGAGCUGCCUCAUGCAGCGACCUCGCCUUCCGCUGCGCCUCCUCCCAGAACCCAAGAAGCCUGGAACCUGUGGCGUCCAGCCCUGAAAGGAGGAGACGGCAACCCAGCCGCGCGUGAGUCCGGGAGUCUGGGAUACCGGCGGCAGAGGAAGGACAGGCAGGAGUCUCGGCCUCUCGGGGAGCGACGUGCCGGGAAAGUUUUGCCUGCACUCUCCCUGGAUGCUGGAGGCUGGAGGCAGUGACGCAGCAACAGCGCGAGGCGACUUUGGAGCGGCCUCAUAUAGCGACCUCGCCUUCCGCUGCGCGUCCUCCCAGAGCCCAAGAAGCCCGGAACCUGUGGCAUCCAUCUCUGAAAGGAGAAGACGGCAACCCAGCCGAGGCACUACUGGGUUGGGGUCUCCACGACCGAGCUGGUCUCAUCAAGUGGCGUCCAACAAGGGGCUCAAACCCGGGUUGAGGGGUUGCUGGAGCGACGGAGAACGUGGAACUACACUGGAGGACACCAGAGUACUCUUAAGCAAUCCCUUGGCCAAAACCAGCAACUGAUUUGGAUACCAUCAAGACACCUGAAAUCUUGUCAUGAGCCAGAUACUGAGGAAGAGAUUUUGGGAAGAACCCAAGGACCCCCCAGUUGCAGCCAUGUCAAGACUGACAAUAAGGAAGACAUCAGUCCCAGCAAGCAACAUUCAUCGGGCACAGCCACCCAUGUGGGGCCAGAUCAAGAAGUUGACACAGAUGGCGGAAGAAAAUCUGAAGAAAGCGGAUGACCAGCUACAAUGAGUAAUCUAAUGUCUUUGUGUAGUCUGCAGAUGUGGAUCCCGAAUCCUGCGAGAAGUAGCCCACCAUGACGAAGCUGCCUUUGCUUUUAUCGCUUUGCAAAAACAGAAAAGGGGACAUGCUGGGAACAGGCCCUAAGCCUGUCAUAAACAGGCCUUAAACUGACCAUGAACAGGAUUUCUGCACGAAUGUGACGUGCUCCUGAUGGCUAUGACGCCCACUGCUAGAAGUUGUUAGUUUACUGGAGCAGGGUAGGGAACACCUGGCCCACCCGGAGCGGAAAACUGCUCAAACCACAAACAACAGCAUGAGUGGCCUGAGCCUUAACAACAUGUUUUUGCUGCAGAUAAUCGGCCAGAGACUGUUUCUCUACUCCUCUCUAAGUAUGCUUUGUUUUUCGUAAGGAAUGCUUUUAGCUAAUCUGUAACCUAUAGAAACAAUGCUUAUCACUGGCUUGCUGUCAAUAAACAUGUGGGUCAAACUCUGUUUGUGGCUCUCAGCUCUCAAGGCUGUUUUCCCCCUGAUUCCCACUUUGCACUUUAUUUCUGUGUGUUUGUCUUCAUUCCUCUAGCACCACUGGGUUGGGGUCUCCUUGACCAAGCUGGUCUCGGCACAUAUGCAUGUAUGCCCAGGUCCUGAAAUCAGCCUUGUGGAGCCUGUGGGUAGGAAAAGUCAACCCUCUGUGCAUGUAGGCCUGGAACCUGACCAAUACUGUAUUUUCCUACCACGUUUGGUUUCAAAUGUGGAAACUGCCCAUACGGACCUACUGCAUUUGUUUUUAAAAAUCCUCUGUAAGUGGACCUGCACAGUUCAGGCCCAGAUUGUUCCAGGAUCAACCCUACAGUAGAAAUCAAGUAUCUUUUUCAUUGUCUCUUGGGAUCUGCCUUUUCACCAAUAAAAUAUGAGGGCUGUUGGGAGCAGGCCCCCCCAAAUCUGGCCAUAAACUGUCCCCAAAACUGGCCAUAAACAAAAUCUCUGCAGCACUAUAACAUGUUCAUAAUGGCCAUAACGCCCAAGUUGGAAGGUUGUGGAUUUACAGGAAUGAGGGCAAGGAACACCUGGCCUGCCCAGGGUGGAAAACCACUUAAAGGCAUUCUUAAGCCACAAACAAUAGCAUGAGUGAUCUGUGCCUUAAGAACAUGCUCCUGCUGCAGUUAACUAGCCCAACAUAUUCCUUUAAUUCAGUCCAUCCCUUCGUUUCCCAUAAGGGAUACUUUUAGUUAAUUUAAUAUCUAUAGAAAGAAUGCUAAUGACUGGUUUGCUGUUAAUAAAUACGUGGGUAAAUCUCUGUUUGGGGCUCUCAACUCUGAAGGCUGUGAGACCCCUGAUUUCCCACUUGACACCUCU